rnacentral:lncRNA from 1 species
UUUUUGUUCAUGUAAAUCUGAAAUUAGUUGGUAAUUCCCCUUUGCAAGCUGCUGCAUAGUCUUCAGCAAGGUGUGGUGCGGCUUCCUUGUGAGGGCAUAUGAGCUUCUCCACAAAAACCUUCUCGGUCAUCUUAACCGCAGUAUGUAAGCUCAAGUCACGAUCUAGCAGUCCAUUUUGCCUGAGAAACUUGAUAACAUAGUACCGGGGUCUGAGUCGGCCCUCCAUGCUAUAUGCAAGUAUAUCUGAUCGAUGAGCAAUGUACACGGGUUCCAGCCCCACCUUAGAGACCAGGAACUCGGACCUGCGCUUCAGAGAUCCCUUUGACUUCCUCAGCACACCCGGAUACUUGCGCAAAGCAAUGCUCACUUCGGCAUCAGACCACCUGAAGGUAUUUUUCAAGUAGUCCACUUUGGCGGCAAUCUUCUCCUCGCUGAGAAAUGCGACAGCCUGCAGUGCCUGCCUGAACAUCCCAGAACCACGGGGCACGCCUAUACCUUCGGCGCAUGCCACCAUGGCCCAAACACGCUCCGGGUUGGUUGUGAGCAUCCUCGGCCCAUGGAUACACAGCUUGGCAAUAUCACAAUCACCUAGCCCGCAGUCCCUCAGGAACACGGCAUUGGGCUUGACCACCUUGUCGAGGUCGGCCGACAGAAGGUGGUUUUCACGCUUGAGCAUCCGGAGUAAGUUGUCCAAUGAGCCGAAGAGGGGCAGGUAGUAUUUCAGCUUGGAGACGAUGGUUCUGCGGCGGAAGCAGUGGUGAACAAGCGAGACGAGGCCGCCAAUCUCGGAACGCGACAGGCCGAGGCCGGUGAGGCCUUCGACGACGGGGACCAAGGUUCUCUCCACGCCGGCGCAGAGGAAGAGCGGAUCUUUGGCGACGACGGCGGCGGCAUCGGCGCCGGAGAGGCCGAGGCCGGCGAGGAAGGCGAGGACGGCGUUGGGUUGGCGGGGGAGUUGAGGUGGGAGAGCUUCGGGGGGGCCUUGAGCGCCUGGGGCCGGGUGAGGCCGCAGGUGUCGACGAGGUACUCCUCGACGGCGAAUCCAGCGGGGUUCGGAGAAAUGGCGGCCGCGGCAGCGGAGAGGAGGCGAGGGAGUGGGGAUGUGGCAGGGGCGGAGGGUGAAGAGAGGAGAUGGGAAACGAUGCGCUCUCGGAGGCGAAGGAAAGAAAUGGGGGCCGGCGAGAAUGGGCUGCAAUUUUCGGUUGUUGUCGUUCGGUUCAGCACUGGGCUCUAAUUGGACCGAAAUUUUCAUAGGCCCGCCUAACUCUUCGAUUUAUUUUUUCAAUCGUCGAUAUUGGGCUCUCUGUGUUAAUGAGUUUCUUGUCUUGGACUCUUAAAAAAAACGAGAAUUAAACAUGACUCGGACUGUGUUUCAUUACCCAUAAAAAAAAUGUUGAAAAAAACAAAGAUGUGUUUCAUAGCUUGUAGCACAAAUUAUCGAGCAUGAGAGAAAUGCUUACUUACAAUGCUGAAGAAAUGACAUAAUUACUUCAAAAUUAUGUCUAGAACCUCCAAAUUUCAAUAUGCAUCAUCAGACAUAAAGGCUCAAUAUUUAUUCACAUUUGUUCACAUAAAUGCCAAUACAGUAGCUAUGUUGCGGAAUAUUCCGGAAUCAGUUACUUUGGAAAUGAAUGAGAAACUGACAGCAGCUUUCUCUGACUAUAUUUUUGUUACGACGCCUGCCUACUUGCUGGGGAAGACGUCACGUUGCAGAGGUAUUGACAUCGCUCAAGAUUUGCUGGCGAUAUCUGAUGGUCAUGGACGUGGUGGAACAUAGGAACUCAGAAAUUUAUAGCAGACGGCAGAGAAUGGGAAUGCUUCAGCCUAGAACAGCGCUCAAGAUUUUCCACAUGAUAUUGUUCCCAGUAGUUUGCAAGCUCUUGGAUGGAACUCGCUGCAGUUCUGCAGCUAUGAACAGCCAACUGCAAGGCGUGAAAUUAAUUAGUGACAUGAAGCAAUGCGAAAAGAGAAGCAACUGCAGUAUUUCAGUAACGAAUCAACCAAUGACAAGAAGAAACAAAUCUAGAUCAGAUUCAAAUAGAUGGAUUUCUUACUAAACAGCGGCAAUCUGACAACCAAAGCACAAGAACGCCAAUACAAGGAAGCACCUACAAAGAAUCUGUAAACAAGAUGACAAGCAGAAGAAAGAACAUAGAACAGAGGCAAAAUAUAACCAUGAAAUUGUAAAUUUUCCAAAUGAUAUUGUUUCUAGUAGUUUGCAAACUGUUGGAUGGAACUCUGUGCAAUUCUGCAGCUAUGAACAGCUAACUGCAAGGCGUAAAAUUAACUAAUGACAUGAAGCAAUGAGAAAAAAGCGAAGCAAGUGCAGAAUUUGACUAACGAAAUCAACCAAUGACCAGAAGAAGCAAAUCUAGAUCACAUCAAAAUAGAUGUAUUUCUUGCUAACAAAAUAAUAAAUCCACCAGGUAGAAAGGGGAGUAGUUCUCCAAAGAAAAAAAUCAAAGAGUAAGCUGAGUUUGAGGCUACAUGCCUUUCUCAGUGGAAGCAGAGCAUGAGGUCACUGCCCAUGUCCACGUAUCUGAAGAUGGACCAUCACUGAACACUGAUACUUCCCAAAUCACUCUUAAAAUAUGAACAUGGGGAACAAUGGAGCUGACAACACAUAAUUCGUUCAACCAUGAUUUGGAAACAUAGAAUUAGAUGAGACCAUUCAGCCAUGUCAUCCAGGCCAGCAUGGAGUACGGCUUCGUACAGGUACAGGCACGCACUUUGUUUUUGUCAGACACCGCUCCGGCUCACCCACCACUGAGGGGGUGACCAAGGCAAGGGUCGAUCACCAUGUGGAUAUGGUCUCCAACUCCGCGGCGGUGACCCUCGUCGUGCCCAAGAUGGGGUGGCGCAUCAGACCGACACAGGUGGAGGAGGCAAGGAAUCUGGCCAUGUACGGCGUUCAAUGACACCAGCCGGGAGAGAGCCCUCUGAGUCCUUCAAGAUCCACUAAUAGCCCUAUCUCUAUGAGUUUGCGUUCUCCUCCUGGGCUGUGGUUUCCUCUCCUUCCCAACUUCUUUAUCCCUUAGGUUCUGCUUUUGCUAAGACCAGCAAUUGCUCACUAAAUUUGUCAUGAAACAUGUUUUCACAUUAUCCAUGUUUUUGUUUCAUAAAACAUAGAAGGGACUGUAGAUGCAUCAUUAACUGCAACAAAAUAUAGCUAAACGGAGCUAGCUGUAAGAAACAAGCUGAUUACUGAAUGUGAAUCAGUGUGGAGAAAAGAACUGAGUUUGUAUGUCAGAUACUGAACGUGGAUAAUCUUUUCUUUUGCAACAUGUGGAUACUUAAACCGCUGUAGCUGGAAGUUAGAAACUAUAUAAACAUAAACAGCUGUGGCACAACACAAUGCUGGUUCCUGAAAGGGCACACCUCAUACUAACCAAACAGAGGGACAGGUCUGCGCCGAAAGAAAUGUGUAGCCAAAACACAAAACUGAAUUUAUAUAAAACCGAAUCAUGCGGGCCUAGUGUAUAAUUAUAAGUUCAGUUCGUGUUCAUUGGAACAGUGGUCAUUGCAAUGUAAACCUGAGAAACACACCACUCCCCUUAAUCAUAUAUACAUAUUUGACCUGACACAUCCAUCGAAACACCCACUUCUUCAGUCAAAAAUGAAUGUUCAAUAGUCAGAACUGAACAUUAGAAACCUCAAACGACUUGCAGCAUCCACCGUUUCAGAGUAAGGAAAACAUACUCAUGCUUACUUAUGGUAAUUCAGCAUCACCGUAUUAGGCUUCAGUGCAGCAGAAAAUUUACAUCAGACUAAUAAGGUUUAUUUUCUUUUACUUGAGGGAUAGUUAGCUGAAACUUCUGAGUAAACAUGAGCCUAAUCCCAGUGAAAAAAAUCGAGCUACCUUAACCAUUAAUUAUGCUCAAGUAAAACUCUUUUAAGAAAAGUUUAUGAAUCUGAACAGCAUGGUGAUUUUUCCUAGUGGUAAUAGGCCUAGAUAUAGCCAUCCUAUCUGAACCUAAUAUCCAAUGCAUCCAUCUCCAUAUAUAAACAUAAAGCAUGGAUCAACACAAGCACGUACAUCUUGCCUAAGUGUUCUGUUUUUCCCCUCUUGUGCUCCUUAAGUUCUUCUCUAUUUUGAUCAUGCACUUCAGGAAAAGAAAGUGAACUUACCUCAGUUCAAGUCACUGAGCAUGAAAAUAAUAAUAACAGCAGCCUAGAUCUGCUGAUGCUCUGCGGAUGCAACUGAGCAGAGGCCCACCCAGGUAUAACAUUUACUAAUUCAUAAAUUAACGUUUUUUGCCACUGAAUAUAUACUACUCCCUCCGUCCCAUAAUGUAAGACAUUUUUUGAUACUAGUAUAGUGUCAAAAAGUCUUACAUUAUGGGACAGAGGGAGUAUUUCUCAUCUUGUCAAUCAUCAGCUGCAGUUGCCGUUUGCAGCUUUUACACAAAACAAUAGUUGUAGCAAUUUUCUCUUCCAAUCGAAAUGGUUGUGAUCUUUCAUGUGUUUGAACAUGGAGACUGUUUGUAUAUAAUGGCAUUGUUGCUCAUUAAACACAAUCAGAAAUUCAGAACACAUAAUUACAUCACUAAACACAACAAUUUGCCACUUUUUAUGUCAGAAUGGACAACAGGUGGAAGGCCUCAGUGUUGUGUAAUGACCUAUAGCUCAGCUCAAAGCAACAGAUUGGGUUGAAUUUUGUGGCAUUGCGACUUCACAUUCGCUAGUUUUGUUGACAAAACAUAUCUAUAUGGUCUUGGAAACAACGAUUUCACAUAUGCAAUCACUGAAUAGGCAAAAAAAACUUAAAAAACGGGUAAAGAUAUCAAAAGGAAAAAGAAAAACAAAAGGCAGAUGAGAAAUUUAUUUCUGAGUCUAACCUGAAUAUUAAACAAAGUUAGUACUAGUUGACAUAUGAUGGAACCUAAAAAACAAUGAAAUGAUAAUUUAACAUGCAUGAUAGAUAAAUUUUGGCAUGAAAGCAGAUCAUACUGAUACAUUUCGGUGGAAAACAACACAGCAAUAUUCUUCUGGUUUCUUGUUUCAUGGGUGCUGGUUUCAACAAAAAUUAGUGCACCCACACAUCCAGUUUCCAUGAUCUUCAAUGCAAGUCGGAAUCACAUAUAUAUCCAUAAACUUCUCAUUUACAGAGAUCUUCUCUAAGGAAUGACAACAUCAACAUAUGGGGUUCAGGAAUCAAAUUAUCAGUUUCAUAAGGAGUUAGCAUUUAGCAAUGACUAACUGCCAUGCUAAAGAAAACAACCAACAUCAUCUUAGGCAAAGAACACUGAAACAGGAAGUAACAGCUUACACGCAGGGUGAUAACUUUGUUGCACCAUACACUGUAACCAAUUUCCAUAGCCCUUUUUUGUUCAUGUAAAUCUGAAAUUAGUAGGCACUUCCCCUUUGCAAGCUGCUGCAUAAUCUUCAGCGAGGUGUGGUGCAGCUUCCUUGUGAGGGCAUAUGAGCUUCUCCACAAAUACCUUCUCAGUCAUCUUGAUCGAAGAAUAUAAGCUCAAGUCAUGAUCUAGCAGUCCAUUUUGCUUGAGAAACUUGAUAACAUAGUACCGGGG